AAACCAUGAUUUGGAGACUUCUACAAAUAUUCUUUAAAUCUCUCCUAAGCUUCAUAUAGUUGCUCCCCCUGAAGUUGUUUGAACUCAUAAAUUUUUUCACGAAUUU